rfam:Spinacia oleracea cultivar SynViroflay scaffold11868.con0012.1, whole genome shotgun sequence.
ACGACCUUACUUGAACAGGAUCUGUUCUAUAGUAAUCGUACCUCUGUAUCCUUGAGUUCUAAGGAGACAGAAAACCAAGUCCGGUGGAUGACUUAUGACCAUGUGAUUUGAGCGUGAUUAACGGCUUCCAUUGAUCUUCUGAUCACUGUGUUCUGUAGAUGAUCGUUCCCCAGCUCCUCUUUGUGUGUGAGCUUUGGGAUGCUCGCAUGGUUGUCUGACAGACU